rnacentral:lncRNA from 1 species
GAUGAGCCCAGACAUCACUGGCUGCUCCGGUGAUCCUUGGUGCCGGUGUUUGUGUUUGGACGGGAUAAAAAUAUGCCUCAUUGCUCAUGAGGAAAGAAUGCUAGCAACUUUGGUUUUGUGGAUCUUACACAGUGACGGCUUCUAAGCCAUUGCUGUGGUCACCAGUAGGGAGUUGGGGCUGAGUGCCCCACCGUGCAGGUGGGGAUCUGAGGGUGCAGAGUGGAUGCAGCUGGAGAUGCCUGGAUGCUGGGGUCUGGGGGAGGGACUUGCUAAGGUCCCACAGCAUUAUUGCCUGGAUGGUGCUCCUGCCCUAGGCCAGGCUGCCUCAGGCUUCUGCCCACAUGCAUUCGUCCAUCCAGUGGGGCUACCCACCUCCUCAGAGCCUUGCACCUGUCACCUUUGUGGCACCCACUCGAGGUGGUGCUGACAGCCCGCAAAGGACAGAGUCCAAGACUGUGUGUUUCAGAUAAGAAGAGUCAGGAAGCAGCUGUGGUUUGUUUGGCUUCGGUCUCCAAUGUGGGGGUGGUGAAGAGCAAGCCCUGGGCGCCGGGCAGUGCCACCCAGACCAUGAGGACUGAGAGUGGCGGGGUUCCCCAAAAGGGACAUCAAGGUGCAGUCAUCAGAAAAAGCAAGGAACGGAGGUCGAGCACACAGAAAACACGUGUGUUUGAUGGUUCUUGGUGGUCCACACUGAUGCAGCCGGCUUCUGGGGGUGAUCUUUCUGGCACUGAGCAGUGAGCAUGCUGGGAUUUGCCUUUGAGCCCACGAAGGCUCCUACUUCAUGGACUGAGCUAACUGGUCUGCAGGACGAGCCCACCACUGCCAUAUGGAAGCUGGAAUAAUGAAGAGGGUGUGUGUCCAUCUCAAAGAGAUUCUGGGCUGGGCGCAGUGGCUCAGACCUGUAAUCCCAGCACUUUGGGAGGCUGAGGCAGCAGAUCACCUGAGGUCAGGGGUUCGAGACCAGCCUGGCCAACAUGGUGAAACCCUGUCUCUACUAAAAAUACAAAAAAACUUAGCUGGGCAUGGUGGCGGCCGCCUGUAUUCCCAGCUACUCAGGAGGCUGAGGCAGAAGAAUCGCUUGAACCCGAGAGGCAGAGGUUGUGGCGAGCCGAGAUUUUGUCAUUGCAUUCCAGCCUGGGCGAUGAGAGUGAAACUCUGUCUCAAAAAAUAAUAAUAAAAAAGAGAGAGAGAUUCUGUAUAUCGGGGAGAUGUCUUGAAAUGUCAGGCUGUGAAUAACUUCUGUGAAAAAUUAAUUAUGGACUGGAAGAAUCUUUUUAGACCACCAUAUAGACUUGGACCUUCCAUGUUUUGAUUUUUUUAAAAAAGGGAAGAAUAAUAUGACUUGUGAACUUAGGUCAAGUAAGGAGACUUGAAUUCACUAGAGGUGCUGGCGUUGUGGUGGGAAGUACAGCAACAGCCCUGGGGUCUCCUGGGGAAGUGGGGGAGGGAAGAGAAAGCCUCCUCUUGUGAACAGCAACUUUGGACCACUCACUACAAAGCAUCUCUUUUCAUCAUAAACCAUCCUAUCAGAUUGAUGUUAACGAUCAGAUUGAAGCUGCUUCGGAGCAGUGAUGUGGCCUGCACCAGGUCGCACAGCACCUUACUGUGGAGCAUGGAUCCACACGUGCGUCUGUGUCAUUGUGAUCGCUCACGCUGCUCUGUGGGCCCAUGGCCUUGGUGCCUGCAGGCUCUGUGUCUGCAGUUCCUCUAGGGAUAGUGAGUCUGCUGCUGAGCCCGCAGCCAGAAACCACGCUGGGGGGCUGGCAGGGUGACGGCAGCAAGGAAGGAGAACUGUCCUUGAUGGAUUCAGGGAGCACCAAGGUCUGGGGGCUCUGGGGAGGGUGGGUGUCCAAAAGGGCUGCCCUGCGGGACCUGAUGCCAUCUCUGAGCAGCGUCCUUGAGGACCCCGGCAAGGAAGCUGAGCCCGAAACUCUGUGCAAGAGUUGCGUCCAGGGAGAGUUACAUCCAGGGAGAGUUACGUCCAGGGAGAGGGGCGUCCAGGAAGAGGGGCAUUCAGGGAGAGGGACAUUCAGGGAGGAGUCUUCCAGGGACGGGGACAUCCAGGGAGAGGGGCGUCCAGCGAGAGGAGCCUCUAGGGAGGGGUACAUCCAGGGAGGUGGCCUGUCAGGGAGGGUGGUGUCCAGGGAAAGCAGCAUCAAGGGAGAGGGGUGUCCAGGGAUGGGGGCAUCCAGGGAGGGGGGCUUCCAGGGAGAGGGGCCUUUGUGUUGGCGAGUUGUCCAUCCACAGGGCUGGAGUGCGUGUGCCUGACCACGAGAGCUUGUGAAGAAUCCAUCUGAUUCUUUCCUUCUCCAAACACAUGCCUCACCCACACAGCCUUACCUGUGAGGGCCUCACCUGCCACCUGCGACUUUUGAGUUGUCCCAGCCUCCCUCUGCCCUCUCCAAACUGGGUGUGACCCUUCCUCUCUGCCUUUGCACCUGGCCACAUCCCAUGGUCUCCCACUGGAGUCCUGUCUCCUGUACACCUGGGUCAUCUGAAGGCAGUGGCCAGGCAGCACUUGGUGCUGCAGAGCCGGUUCAGAGCCUGGCACGGUAUGGUUCUGGGAAAGCCCUGGGUGAGUUGGACCAGAAAGGCUGGUCCUCAGUGUGGUGUUACUGGGAACCAUGCAGCCUGUCCCGUUGUCAGCCAGCCUUGGGUGAAAUGGGUAAGACUGCAUGAUGCUUUUGUAAAUUCAGGUAACUUCUUAGGAAGUAAAAUGCAGCACAAACUGUAGUUGAUGUUUUGACCCUUGGUCUAAUAAUUCAACUGGAGAACCUGUGCUAGGAAAAUGACUUCCCAAAAGAAAAGAAACGGUUCAUGGCACCACCGUAGAAAACAAGAGGUUAUUGGAAGCAACCUACAGACCUGAUGGAGAGGAGGGGAGGGUCAGUAACCUGACUCUGUCUCCUUGAUGGAUCUAGGAGCCACCAAAAUGGUGAGCUGACUGCAGCGCAUCGUGGGAAGCCAGAGAACAAUCCACUGCUGUGGACUGAAAGUUUGUGUCUCUCCCAGAUUCAUUUGCUGAGGUCUUCACCCCCAGUCCCAUGGUGUUAGGAGGUGGGGCCUUUGGAGGUGAUGAAUCAUGAGCGAUGGCUUUACGGUGGAAUUAGUGCCCCUAUAAAAGAAACCUCAGGGAGCUCCCUUGCCCCUUCCACCCUGUGAGGACACAGCCAGAAGACCUGAAACAAAAAGCAGGCCCUCAGUAGACACGGAGUCUGCAACACUAUGAUCUUGGACUUCCCAGUCUCCAGAAUCGAAAGAAAUACAUUUCUGAUGUUUGUAAGCCACCAGCUUGGUCUAUGGUAUUAAUAUUUUUGUUAUAACAGCUCGAACAGACUAAGGCAUUCACUCUUAAGAAGGAAAAGGUAAUAUCAAG